GAUGAACGCUGACAGAAUGCUUAACACAUGCAAGUCGACUGGAAUUCACCUUCGGGUGAUAGUACGGUGGCGGACGGGUGAGUAACGACGUAAAGAACUUCGCCCUCUAGACGUGGGACAACUGUUAGGAAACGACAGCUAAUACCGGAUAUUAUGAGAUUCUCGCAGUAGGGAAACUUAUAGAAAGGCUAUAUGCGCUAGAGGAGAGUCUUUGCGUGCC
rnacentral:rRNA from 1 species